rnacentral:ribozyme from 1 species
CUUUCCCAGGACUACGUUUCCGAUGACACUGUACUUCAGUCUACCGACUAUUGAUGGUCACUCUAAUCAUCGUCCAUAUUACGGUCUACAUAUGCCAACAUCG